rnacentral:lncRNA from 12 species
AAGUGUGUUAAGCUGGAGAGAGGUACUUCAGGAAACUUUCUUAGCUUUAUCUGACUUUUGUUUUGUUUUGUUUUUUUUUAAUUUUGGUAUCAGGCUGCAUGAAGAUGAUUUCAAUGAAAUGUCCCAGUAUGAGUCGUUAUAGCCAAAGAAAGAAAAUAAGGCAUGAAGUGGCAACUCGGAUGGUGACCUCCCAAGUCUCUCUGAUGGGCUGUGUAGCUGUUCCAUGUAACUUUCUCUGUGUGUAUGUAGGAGUGGAUCUCAGUUCUCUCUUCACAGUUAGUGUUUAUGUGGCUUUUCCUCACAGUGAUGUGUUCUGGAGCAAAGUACAUCUAUCUUCUCUUAACUAAAUAGCAACCCACAAGACAGAGGUAAAUAGCAAAGCUAUGUCCCAUGAACAUGCAGGCCACAUUUGUAACUAGUGUGCUGUGUUUUCCA